AAGUCGUAACAAGGUUUCCGUAGGUGAACCUGCGGAAGGAUCAUUAACACUUUUUUUUAUUUAUUUUUUCUUUUUUAUUUUUUUAAAAGAGAAAAAUAAUUAAACAAAACCCCACAAUUUUGGAUGAAUUUAAAUUAUUAAUUUUUAAUUUUAUUUUUUAUUAAACUCUUAUUAAUUUUUUUGGACUAACAUGUUAUUUUUUAAAAAUUUAAAAAAAAAUUUAAAAAACAACUCUUAACAACGGAUAUCUUGGCUCUC
rnacentral:misc_RNA from 1 species